rnacentral:rRNA from 1 species
GUGAACGCUGGCGGUAGGCCUAACCCCUGCCAGUCGAACGGCAGCACAGUAAGAGCUUGCUCUUACGGGUGGCGAGUGGCGGACGGGUGAGGAAUACAUCGGAAUCUACUUUUUCGUGGGGGAUAACGUAGGGAAACUUACGCUAAUACCGCAUACGACCUACGGGUGAAAGCAGGGGAUCUUCGGACCUUGCGCGAUUGAAUGAGCCGAUGUCGGAUUAGCUAGUUGGCGGGGUAAAGGCCCACCAAGGCGACGAUCCGUAGCUGGUCUGAGAGGAUGAUCAGCCACACUGGAACUGAGACACGGUCCAGACUCCUACGGGAGGCAGCAGUGGGGAAUAUUGGACAAUGGGCGCAAGCCUGAUCCAGCCAUACCGCGUGGGUGAAGAAGGCCUUCGGGUUGUAAAGCCCUUUUGUUGGGAAAGAAAGGCAGCAGGUUAAUACCCCGCUGUUCUGACGGUACCCAAAGAAUAAGCACCGGCUAACUUCGUG